GACGAACCGUACGAACGUUAUUCGGAAUUACUGGGCUUAAAGGGUGCGUGGGCGGCGCAGUAAGUUGGGUGUGAAAUCCCUCGGCUUAACCGAGGAAUUGCGCCCAAAACUACUGUGCUCGAGGGAGAUAGAGGUGAGCGGAACUUAGGGUGGAGCGGUGAAAUGCGUUGAUAUCCUAAGGAACACCGGUGGCGAAAGCGGCUCACUGGAUCUCUUCUGACGCUGAGGCACGAAAGCUAGGGUAGCAAACGGG
rnacentral:rRNA from 1 species